GGGGCCGACUGGGUUCGAUCGGACAGGUUCCGGUCCGUUGUUGCGCGUCGAGGAGCAUCCAGGCCUCGCAAAAAGGAUGCAAACACACAAAUGCCAAUGAUGAAAACACCAUCGCUGGUCGGAUCGGCUUCGGCAACGACGCCCUCCGCCUCGCCGCCUGAUUGGAUUCGAUUCCAACAGGCUGCAAACCCCUGAAGAAGCCCGCUCGGGGCGUCUUCAAUGGGUCGCAAAACCGGGCCCGCCCCCUCCCGCCGCCGCGUCGGGAGGGGGUUGAACCACUCGCGGCUGGACCCCACGGAGGCCGCUGCCGGUCGCCAACGGGUCGAGACGGGCUCUGCCCGGCAAAGCGGCAGACACACGCGUAGACGCAAUGGAUCGACUGUCUCGACACGGGGGUUCAACUCCCCCCGGCUCCAUCA
rfam:Phycisphaera mikurensis NBRC 102666 DNA, complete genome.